UACGUAGGGAGCAAGCGUUGUCCGGAAUCAUUGGGCGUAAAGCGCGCGUAGGUGGCUUCAUAAGUCCGUUGUGAAAGUCAAAGGCUCAACCUUUGAAAGCCGAUGGAUACUGUGGAGCUAGAGUACGGAAGAGGCGAGUGGAAUUCCUGGUGUAGCGGUGGAAUGCGCAGAUAUCAGGAGGAACACCAAUAGCGAAGGCAGCUCGCUGGGACGUUACUGACACUAAGGCGCGAAAGCGUGGGGAGCGAACCGG
rnacentral:rRNA from 1 species